UACGUCCUGUGCGAACGUUAUUCGGAAUCACUGGGCUUAAAGGGCGCGUAGGCGGCCUGUUAAGUCGAACGUGAAAUCCCCGGGCUCAACCCGGGAACUGCGUCCGAUACUGGCAGGCUUGAAUCCGGGAGAGGGAUGCGGAAUUCCAGGUGUAGCGGUGAAAUGCGUAGAUAUCUGGAGGAACACCGGUGGCGAAGGCGGCAUCCGGGACCGGCAUUGACGCUGAGGCGCGAAAGCCAGGGGAGCAAACGGG
rnacentral:rRNA from 1 species